CCCAACUAAAUUAGUUGGGAUUAUAUUCCACAUUUAUGCAAUAAUUGCCAAUGAAUUAUUGCAUAAAUGUGGAAUAUAAUCCCAACUAAAUUAGUUGGGAUUAUAUU